rnacentral:rRNA from 1 species
UGCUAUAAUGCAAGUCGAGCGAAUGGAUUAAGAGCUUGCUCUUAUGAAGUUAGCGGCGGACGGGUGAGUAACACGUGGGUAACCUGCCCAUAAGACUGGGAUAACUCCGGGAAACCGGGGCUAAUACCGGAUAACAUUUUGAACUGCAUGGUUCGAAAUUGAAAGGCGGCUUCGGCUGUCACUUAUGGAUGGACCCGCGUCGCAUUAGCUAGUUGGUGAGGUAACGGCUCACCAAGGCAACGAUGCGUAGCCGACCUGAGAGGGUGAUCGGCCACACUGGGACUGAGACACGGCCCAGACUCCUACGGGAGGCAGCAGUAGGGAAUCUUCCGCAAUGGACGAAAGUCUGACGGAGCAACGCCGCGUGAGUGAUGAAGGCUUUCGGGUCGUAAAACUCUGUUGUUAGGGAAGAACAAGUGCUAGUUGAAUAAGCUGGCACCUUGACGGUACCUAACCAGAAAGCCACGGCUAACUACGUGCCAGCAGCCGCGGUAAUACGUAGGUGGCAAGCGUUAUCCGGAAUUAUUGGGCGUAAAGCGCGCGCAGGUGGUUUCUUAAGUCUGAUGUGG